GGGGGGGGGUGGCGUGAAGAAGCCAUGGGUGAUAGGGAGUGAUGGUGUAGAAAGCUGCAGGCGCCAUCGAAGAUAGAGUAGGCGUGGAAGUGGAGGGGGUGAGUCGCAUCGAUGGGUGGAGGAUCCGUCGGAGAGUGGCGGGGUGCCGUGGGUGUGGGAGGGGGGCAUGAUGGCAGAGCCGUGUAGGCAGAGGAGAACUGAC
rnacentral:lncRNA from 1 species